CCUACGGGGAGCAGCAGUGAGGAAUAUUGGUCAAUGGACGAGAGUCUGAACCAGCCAAGUAGCGCGAAGGAUGACUGCCCUAUGGGUUGUAAACUUCUUUUAUAUGGGAAUAAAAUGUUCCACGUGUGGGAUUUUGUAUGUACCAUAUGAAUAAGGAUCGGCUAACUCCGUGCCAGCAGCCGCGGUAAUACGGAGGAUCCGAGCGUUAUCCGGAUUUAUUGGGUUUAAAGGGAGCGUAGGUGGAUUGUUAAGUCAGUUGUGAAAGUUUGCGGCUCAACCGUAAAAUUGCAGUUGAAACUGGCAGUCUUGAGUACAGUAGAGGUGGGCGGAAUUCGUGGUGUAGCGGUGAAAUGCUUAGAUAUCACGAAGAACUCCGAUUGCGAAGGCAGUUCACUGGACUGCAACUGACACUGAGGCUCGAAAGUGUGGGUAUCAAACAGGAUUAGAUACCCGUGUAGUC
rnacentral:rRNA from 1 species